UUACUCAUGGCAGUUUAUAUUUACUAAAAUUAUUAUUAUUUUUUAAUGCUAGUGGUUUGAUGUGUGGAAGAACAUUUGUUUGACAUAAUUAUUUUUUUAAUGUUAGUGGCGUGAUGUGUGGAAAAAUAUUUGUUUGACAUAAACAAAAUGAAAAAUAAAAAAUGACAUCAUAUAUAAUAAAAUUGGAUUAAUUUACUAUUGUAUCGAUAGUAGACUCUCAUUCCCCCUUUUUAUUAGAAGUUAAAAAAGGUGUGGGGGAGAUUACAAGGAUCAUAUGAUAAAUUGGCAGACAAUUGUUAAUGUUCUGGGUAGGAUGAUUGGGUCAGGUUAAUUAUUUUAGGAGCAUGUCUAUGGUAGCUAAGUAGUCUCAAGUUACUUUUCUAUUGGAAUAUUGUUUCUUUGGAAUAUGUUAAUCAGAGGGAUAUAUGAUUUAUAGCCAAAUGGAUGGUAUUUUAGAUUUUGCCCCUAUUUAUUUAUGCUAGACUUUUUAAGUUUACCUUGUGGCCAAAGGCAGCAGAACAUGAGCGAUCAGAGAUACUCAACAUGGAGCAUAAUUUAUGAGAUUUUGCCUUGAUAGUUUUCAAAGUGUGUAUUUAUAUCUAUUGUGCCUUGCCUUCUUCUUUUUCUCAGCUAAGUGGUUUAAAUUCUAUCUUAACCUUUAAACAACUUCCGUCUAUCCCAAUGGUAUUCUAGGUUCCCAACUGAUUUCUAGGUUUUUACUUAGUGAUUGAUUUUUUGUCUCUUUCUAAUUAUUGCAAUCAACAUCUAUUUUUUUUUUUUAUUUCGACUGCAGUGAGCUUUUGCUUCAUUUCUAUGCCAGUUCAGUAAAAAAGAAACAUGAGAAAAUUAUAUUUUGAAAUACAUUGUUGUAUUUCAAGUUGUAAUAGAAAUUGUUUUCCUCAUGUAAAUUUGAACUUUUGCCGGACGCCUUUUCAUACA
rnacentral:lncRNA from 1 species